CCUGGGUCAUUUAGAGGAAGUAAAAGUCGUAACAAGGUUUCCGUAGGUGAACCUGCGGAAGGAUCAUUAACAACAACAACAACAAAAAAUGUAUUAUCAUCCAUAAUACAUUUUUCAUUUCAUUCCAUCCCACUUGUGAACCAACCAAAAAGCUAGUUAGGGAACUUUUGGAUCUGCUAAUAAUACAAUAACUUAUUAGCAAGGAGAAAUAGUACCACUAGCUGUUAACAUAAUUCCAUCUACUCAGUGUAUAUGUAUAUGUCCAGAGUGUAAUAAACCAAACUAUUACAACUUUUAGCAAUGGAUCUCUUGGCUCUCGCAUCGAUGAAGAACGCAGCGAAUUGCGAUAAGUAAUGUGAAUUGCAGAUUUUCAGUGAAUCAUCGAAUCUUUGAACGCAUCUUGCACUCUUUGGUAUUCCGAAGAGUAUGCCUGUUUGAGUGUCAUUUAUAUUAAUCAAACUACCAUUUUGAUAUGGAUAGUUUUGGAGGUGGGACUUGCUGGCUACUAGUUGCUAGUCAGCUUUCCUUAAAUUCAUUAGGACAUGGUACAGCCCUAUUGGAUGUGAUAAUGAUCAUCCAAGCUGGAAGUGUUUGAUUUAGAUUUAUUAUAUGAUGGAUUAAUCUAUCUAUCCUAUCUAUCUAUCUAUUUAAUGCAUGACCUCAAAUCAG
rnacentral:rRNA from 1 species